GAUGAACGCUGGCGGCGUGCCUAAUACAUGCAAGUCGAGCGAACAGACGAGGAGCUUGCUCCUCUGACGUUAGCGGCGGACGGGUGAGUAACACGUGGAUAACCUACCUAUAAGACUGGGAUAACUUCGGGAAACCGGAGCUAAUACCGUAUAAUAUAUUGAACCGCAUGGUUCAAUAGUGAAAGACGGUUUUGCUGUCACUUAUAGAUGGAUCCGCGCCGCAUUAGCUAGUUGGUAAGGUAACGGCUUACCAAGGCAACGAUGCGUAGCCGACCUGAGAGGGUGAUCGGCCACACUGGAACGGAGACACGGUCCAGACUCCUACGGGAGGCAGCAGUAGGGAAUCUUCCGCAAUGGUCGAAAGCCUGACGGAGCAACGCCGCGUGAGUGAUGAAGGUCUUCGGAUCGUAAAACUCUGUUAUUAGGGAAGAACAAAUGUGUAAGUAACUAUGCACGUCUUGACGGUACCUAAUCAGAAAGCCACGGCUAACUACGUG
rnacentral:rRNA from 1 species